rnacentral:rRNA from 1 species
UACGUAGGGUGCGAGCGUUAAUCGGAAUUACUGGGCGUAAAGCGUGCGCAGGCGGUUUUGUAAGCCGGAUGUGAAAUCCCCGGGCUUAACCUGGGAAUGGCAUUUGGGACUGCAAGGCUGGAGUGCGGCAGAGGAGACUGGAAUUCCUGGUGUAGCAGUGAAAUGCGUAGAUAUCAAGAGGAACACCUGAGGUGAAGACGGGUUGCUGGGCCGACACUGACGCUGAAGCGCGAAAGCCAGGGGAGCAAACGGG